rnacentral:misc_RNA from 1 species
AAUUUGAAUACUCACAAUUUUGAAGGCACUUAGUACCACCAUAACUCAGCUUUGUUCUUAUAUGUUCAUUUGUUUUCAAAGUCUACUCAUUAAGAUUAGAAUAUAAGGAAAACAAGGUCUGAAUAAUACCAGGUAAGAGUCGUCUCUCAUCUAUGGCCAAAAUUUGAAAAGAGACUGCUCAAUUAAGUUUUGAAAUUAAGGAGAGAAAGAAGAAGUCUCCUCUUUGAUCUGUAGCCAUAUCAGUCCACUCUCUAGAAUUGAUCGCAAAAGCACAAUCAAUAUUUAUGAAUCCAAAUCAUAAUUAGAACUAUAUUGGAAUACCCAAUAGAUGUAGCCGCCAUUUACGUACUCGUGAACAAACAAAAGCAUACCCGAGAGAUCCAGUUGAUUCAGAAGUUAAUGCAAGCGGGUGAUCUAACAAUGUCAAUAUCAUGAACCUUCCCCCAAUUGCACCAGAAAAAUGAAGUCUAAAUGUGAUGGUUUCAUUUGCCUUUGUUGCCAUCCAGUGGGAGCUGCAGACCCAUGAGCCCAAGCAGAUUGGACGCAGGACCAGCUUGUCCUUGUUGGGAAGAAAAGGAAUCAAGAAGACUCUUCACCAGGUUAACAUCAACAUCCACUGGAGUGAAUUCUUCUUCCAUGUCUCUCGAUGUCCCCUCAUUUUUGUUGGAGUGAUCAUUUGCACGGACAAAGCUCUUUUCAAGGGUGGUGUUCUUCAAUUCCUCAUUCAGAGCAUCAGAAUAGCUACGCAUGAAAGUGUCCUCUCCAUCCUCAUUAUCCGCAGAGGGUUCCAUAAUAUCACUCCCAUCUUCAGAUUCAUCAAAAUCCAUGUCAGAUGAGGAUGCUUCUUCAGUUUCAACAUCACUAGCAUUAUCCUGACGGCCAUGACGAUUCAUCACUGAUUCCAUGUCUUUAAAGAAUCGAUCCGCAUCAAGGUCCACUUCUUUCAGAUUCCUGUUUUCAGGAACCUCUGCUCCCUUGUAGCUUGACAUCUUGUCCACAAAUGCUUGCAUGGUUUUUGCAAUAUCACCAAGAUCAAAAUCACCAAAGUCUGCAUCAGAUGAAGGACCAGCAUCCUGUGGCUCUUUCAACUUCUGUUUCUUUUUAUGUUUAGCAUUAUAGAGAUCCAUCUCUUUUUGCCUCUCUUGAAGGGCAGCAUUCAGAUCGUUCUCUCCAUCAUAAAGCCAAGAAUCAUCAUCAGAAGGAGGAACCUCUUGACUCUGGAAAUCAUCAGCUGAAUGUGGCAUAGCAAGAAUUUCAUCAAUUCGUCUCACUGGAGCACUCAUCAAUUCACUGGUCCUCGUAAAUAAAGUACUGUUCCGGUAAUACUCCUCAGCCUUCUCCAUCAACCUCUUGUACUCCUUUGAGCCCGGCAACAACCCUUCAAAGUACCCACUUCUCUCCAAACUCUCCUUGUACUUGUUCCACGUACUCCCUUUUCCUUCCUCUCCUUCCCUCCUCCUCAGUUCAUACAUCAUCUCGAAUCCACAGACAAUCUUCAUCCCCAACUCUGCCUCCAAAUAUGCGCCGGCAUCAUCUCCUCUAACCGGCAUUGGAUAGCACUUGGGCGCCUGAAAUUUCUGCUGCAUUAACUGCGCAUACAUAGCCCUAGACAUCUUAACCACCAUGCGAACCAGUUCUUCCUCCCUCCCUCUGCUCAGAAACUUCUCCAUUUUCGCUGCGUACUUCAUUGUAUCAAUAUCUCUGUCGUAAAAUCCCUCCACUGCUAAAGAGAUCAAACAAGGCUCGUGCUUGAGAACCUGUGCCACUGAUGUUGGAACCCUAACCCGAACCUGAUGGAUAUUUCGUCUCGCUCUUUCCGGAU